AUUGAACGCUGGCGGCAUGCCUUACACAUGCAAGUCGAACGGUAACAGGUCUUCGGAUGCUGACGAGUGGCGCACGGGUGAGUAAUACAUCGGAACGUGCCCGAUCGUGGGGGAUAACGAAGCGAAAGCUUUGCUAAUACCGCAUACGAUCUACGGAUGAAAGCAGGGGACCGCAAGGCCUUGCGCGAACGGAGCGGCCGAUGGCAGAUUAGGUAGUUGGUGGGAUAAAAGCUUACCAAGCCGACGAUCUGUAGCUGGUCUGAGAGGACGACCAGCCACACUGGGACUGAGACACGGCCCAGACUCCUACGGGAGGCAGCAGUGGGGAAUUUUGGACAAUGGACGAAAGCCUGAUCCAGCCAUGCCGCGUGCAGGAUGAAGGCCUUCGGGUUGUAAACUGCUUUUGUACGGAACGAAAAGACUCUGGUUAAUACCUGGGGUCCAUGACGGUACCGGAAGAAUAAGCACCGGCUAACUACGUG
rnacentral:rRNA from 1 species